GAAAAAAUUAAAGUUAACGAAGCUCUGGGAAAAAAUGAAUAGAAAAUAAUAGAAGUUCAUAACGUUGAAAAGAUGUUCCACAUUUAGGAAUAAACCCAUCGGUUUAUGAUGUUUCAUCCAUCAAUUGCUAACUGUGAGGAUGAAAAAAAAAGAUAACGAAGAUCAAAGAAAGAAUGAAUCGAAGUUUAUAGUGAUGAAAAUAGUCUUCACAUUACGGAAUAAAUCCAUCGCACAUCAAGCCCGGCAUUGUUCCGUUCUGCUGACAUCAUUGUGCUGAUAAUUCGGCCGCUGAUGAAGAUGCCAAGGAUCAGACGAGGUGGCCCGCAUCUGGGCAAAAUGCAUUUGUCAAUUUGCUAGGCAGAUGUUCGGAGUCAAGAAAUAUAACCAAAAUCAUAAAAUGGAAGAAUUCAAAAGGUCUGACGUUCGUCCCACUAGACACGGAAGUUAUAAUGAAAACCGAAAAGCAAGAAAUAGCGAUCUCUCCACUCCGUAAUCUAUGUUCAACCAUUUAUUUCCAAAGCGAAUAAACGUCAAGUUGUGUUCGCAUGCUUCGAUAUCUUCUUGUCACCCCUUUCCGAAGAGAAAUAUAUAUGUAUUAAGGAUACUGAUCUAACAAAUCUAUGUGACAUGAUGGCUUGUAUCAAGAAGCGAACACUAUAAAUUCAU